rnacentral:rRNA from 1 species
AGAGUUUGAUCAUGGCUCAGAUUGAACGCUGGCGGCAUGCCUAACACAUGCAAGUCGAACGGUAACGACGGGAGCUUGCUCCCGGGCGACGAGUGGCGGACGGGUGAGUAAUACUUAGGAAUCUGCCCAGUAGUGGGGGACAACUCGAGGAAACUCGAGCUAAUACCGCAUACGCCCUACGGGGGAAAGCGGGGGAUCUUCGGACCUCGCGCUAUUGGAUGAGCCUAAGUCGGAUUAGCUUGUAGGUAGGGUAACGGCCUACCUAGGCGACGAUCCGUAGCUGGUCUGAGAGGACGAUCAGCCACACUGGAACUGAGACACGGUCCAGACUCCUACGGGAGGCAGCAGUGGGGAAUAUUGGACAAUGGGCGCAAGCCUGAUCCAGCAAUGCCGCGUGUGUGAAGAAGGCCUGCGGGUUGUAAAGCACUUUCAGUGGAGAAGAAAAGCCUACGGUUAAUAACCGUGAGUCUUGACGUAACCCACAGAAGAAGCACCGGCUAACUCCGUGCCAGCAGCCGCGGUAAUACGGAGGGUGCGAGCGUUAAUCGGAAUUACUGGGCGUAAAGCGCGCGUAGGCGGUUUGGUCAGUCGAAUGUGAAAGCCCAGGGCUUAACCUUGGAACUGCGUUCGAUACUGCCUGACUAGAGUAUGGUAGAGGGAAGUGGAAUUUCCGGUGUAGCGGUGAAAUGCGUAGAUAUCGGAAGGAACACCAGUGGCGAAGGCGACUUCCUGGGCCAAUACUGACGCUGAGGUGCGAAAGCGUGGGGAGCAAACAGGAUUAGAUACCCUGGUAGUCCACGCCGUAAACGAUGAGAACUAGAUGUCGGGGGGGUUGCCCUUCGGUGUCGCAGCUAACGCGUUAAGUUCUCCGCCUGGGGAGUACGCCGGCAACGGUAAAACUCAAAUGAAUUGACGG